rnacentral:rRNA from 1 species
UACGGGGGGGGCAAGCGUUGUUCGGAAUUACUGGGCGUAAAGGGCUCGUAGGCGGCCAACUAAGUCAUACGUGAAAUCCCCCGGCUUAACCGGGGAACUGCGUCUGAUACUGGAUGGCUUGAGUUCGGGAGAGGGAUGCGGAAUUCCAGGUGUAGCGGUGAAAUGCGUAGAUAUUGGGAGGAACACCAGUGGCGAAGGCGGCUCACUGGCCCGAUACUGACGCUGAGGCACGAAAGCGUGGGGAGCAAACAGG